rnacentral:rRNA from 2 species
UUGGAUCCAGACUUUGAUUAUGGCUCAGGAUGAACGCUAGCUACAGGCUUAACACAUGCAAGUCGAGGGGAAACGACAUCGAAAGCUUGCUUUUGAUGGGCGUCGACCGGCGCACGGGUGAGUAACGCGUAUCCAACCUGCCCAUCACUUGGGAAUAACCUUGCGAAAGUAAGACUAAUACCCAAUGACAUCCCACGAAGGCAUCCGAAUGGGAUUAAAGAUUUAUCGGUGAUGGAUGGGGAUGCGUCUGAUUAGCUUGUUGGCGGGGUAACGGCCCACCAAGGCAACGAUCAGUAGGGGUUCUGAGAGGAAGGUCCCCCACAUUGGAACUGAGACACGGUCCAAACUCCUACGGGAGGCAGCAGUGAGGAAUAUUGGUCAAUGGGCGAGAGCCUGAACCAGCCAAGUAGCGUGCAGGAUGACGGCCCUAUGGGUUGUAAACUGCUUUUAUAAGGGAAUAAAGUGAGUCUCGUGAGACUUUUUGCAUGUACCUUAUGAAUAAGGACCGGCUAAUUCCGUGCCAGCAGCCGCGGUAAUACGGAAGGUCCGGGCGUUAUCCGGAUUUAUUGGGUUUAAAGGGAGCGUAGGCCGGAGAUUAAGCGUGUUGUGAAAUGUAGAGGCUCAACCUCUGCACUGCAGCGCGAACUGGUCUUCUUGAGUACGCACAACGUGGGCGGAAUUCGUGGUGUAGCGGUGAAAUGCUUAGAUAUCACGAAGAACUCCGAUUGCGAAGGCAGCUCACGGGAGCGCAACUGACGCUGAAGCUCGAAAGUGCGGGUAUCGAACAGGAUUAGAUACCCUGGUAGUCCGCACGGUAAACGAUGGAUGCCCGCUGUUGGCCUGAAUAGGUCAGCGGCCAAGCGAAAGCAUUAAGCAUCCCACCUGGGGAGUACGCCGGCAACGGUGCAACUCAAAUGAAUUGACGGA